rnacentral:rRNA from 1 species
AGCAUGUGGUUUAAUUCGAUGCAACGCGAAGAACCUUUACCUGGUCUUGACAUCCACGGAAGUUUUCAGAGAUGAGAAUGUGCCUUCGGGAACCGUGAGACAGGUGCUGCAUGGCUGUCGUCAGCUCGUGCCGUGAGGUGUAUGGUUAAGUCCGCUAACGAGCGCAACCCUCGUCGUAUGUUAUAUGUGUCAUACGAGACUGCCGGUAAAAGCCGGAGGAAGGUGAGGAUGAUGUCAAGUCAGCAUGACCUUUAUAUCCAGGGCUACACACACGCUACAAUGGUCUGUACAAUGGGUAGCCAAGCCGCGAGGCGGAGCCAAUCCUGAAAGCAGGCCUCAGUUCAGAUUGCAGUCUGCAACUCGACUGCAUGAAGCCGGAGUUGCUAGUAACCGCAGGUCAGCAAUACUGCGGUGAAUACGUUCCCGGGUCUU